AGGGAAUCUUCGCCAAUGGACGAAAGUCUGACCGAGCAACGCCGCGUGAGUGAAGAAGGUUUUCGGAUCGUAAAACUCUGUUGUUAGAGAAGAACAAGGAUGAGAGUAACUGUUCAUCCCUUGACGGUAUCUAACCAGAAAGCCCGGCUAACUACAUGCCAGCAGCCGCGGUAAUACGUAGGUGGCAAGCGUUGUCCGGAUUUAUUGGGCGUAAAGCGAGCGCAGGCGGUUUCUUAAGUCUGAUGUGAAAGCCCCCGGCUCAACCGGGGAGGGUCAUUGGAAACUGGGAGACUUGAGUGCAGAAGAGGAGAGUGGAAUUCCAUGUGUAGCGGUGAAAUGCGUAGAUAUAUGGAGGAACACCAGUGGCGAAGGCGGCUCUCUGGUCUGUAACUGACGCUGAGGCUCGAAAGCGUGGGGAGCAAACAGGAUUAGAUACCCUGGUAGUCCACGCCGUAAACGAUGAGUGCUAAGUGUUGGAGGGUUUCCGCCCUUCAGUGCUGCGUCU
rnacentral:rRNA from 1 species